rnacentral:rRNA from 1 species
CCUACGGGAGGCAGCAGUGAGGAAUAUUGGUCAAUGGACGAGAGUCUGAACCAGCCAAGUAGCGUGAAGGAUGACUGCCCUCUGGGUUUUAACCUUCUUUUAUCGAGUAAUAAAACGAGGCACGUGUGCCUUUUUGCAUGUACUUUAUGAAUAAGGAUCGGCUAACUCCGUGCCAGCCGCCGCGGUAAUACGGAGGAUCCGGGCGUUAUCCGGAUUUAUUGGGUUUAAAGGGCGCGUAGAUGGGUUGUUAAGUCAGUUGUGAAAGCUUGCGGCUCAACCGUAAAAUUGCAAUUGAUACUGGCAGUCUUGAGUACAGUUGAGGUAGGCGGAAUUCGUGGUGUAGCGGUGAAAUGCUUAGAUAUCACGAAGAACCCCGAUUGCGAAGGCAGCUUACUAAACUGUGACUGACAUUGAUGCUCGAAAGUGUGGGUAUCAAACAGGAUUAGAUACCCGGGUAGUC